GCGGGUGUAGCUCAAUGGUAGAGCAGCAGCUUCCCAAGCUGAAUACGAGGGUUCGAUUCCCUUCACCCGCU
rfam:Sphingomonas sp. LH128 Contig127, whole genome shotgun sequence.